rnacentral:lncRNA from 1 species
AAAGAUCUUGUAAGACCAGAUAUUAAGAAUGUAACUUUUUUGUGUUCUUUGUGUCAGCUUCAAAAAUGCGCCAAAAGGCUUUGGGGAAAGGAGAGGGAAGUCCUGAGCUCACUGAAUUGGACAAUGAAGAGGCAGAAAUAAGCAACACAUUACAGUGUCUUGAAAACAAAGAUCAGUUGUCUCUGGAGCACCAGUUUCACACUUGGAUAACUCUGGAGAGAAAAAUCAAUGCUGCCACCCAUCUGAAAAAUGACCUAGCCCAAAGGCUGAUUGAUAUCACUUCCAACAAUCUCAUCCAGGAGCUGGAAGAGGACCUGGAGAAAGCUGCCAUUCGAGUUUUGGUGGCCACUGCAAAGCACUGCCCAGAAAUUGUCUUGGCUAAGCUACAGGAGAGGAUCCAACCAAAAGCUCUGCCCCACCACAGCAUCCUCUGUGCUAUGGUGAAACUUUGCCAACUCAAAGGUACCAUCUCCCUCUAUUUCCUGCACUGUAAAUGUCUUUUAAGCUUAGCAAGUAUUUGAUGUC